GGGCGCGGCUCUUGACAAAUGCGACCGUGACACGUUCGACUUUGUCGCUGCCAAGUCUCUCGGCGAGGACGGCCUGAAGCUGUUGGCCCAGGAACGCCGCACCAUCGCCGCCCUCAACGACCGGCUGGUCAAGCUCAUCGAGCUGGUGAGGGCCAACGCACUCUCCGCCCCCGCUGGCGCGUCAGCACUUUGCAGUUAACGCCUGGCUGCUCCCUGGGCCCCGCAGGCUCGGCGCUUGGAGGAGGAGAACGGGUCUCUUGAAUGUCAGAUUGCGGAGCUGGAGGCGCAGCCGAGCAGUGCCCCCGCCUCCGUCAGCAUCAGCACCGCGGUGGCUCAGGCCGACCGCUCUCUGGAUGCGGUGGUGGAGAGGCUGCGCAGGGAAAGGGUAGGAGGCAGCUGCUGCAGCUGGGUGUGUCAGCCGCACAUUUCUCACAGUCCAGUCCACCGCGCUGCUCGCUCAGUCCUCUUAAUGUGAUGCACAUAGCCGGCGGCGGCGGCGGCUUCAUUUAUCACCCUGUCGUGGCUCAUCAGCACGUGUCCCUCUGCAGGAUGAGAUUGUGUGCGAGUCUAGAGCGCUGCAGGACGAGCUGGAGGGUCUGAUGAGGGAGCACGAGGAGGCCGCACGCAGGAGGAGCUCAGUCCAGCAGGAACGUCAGCACGUUGCUGCGGAGGUGGAUGCCGUGACGGCGGAGUGUCUGGCGUUGAGGGAGCGGGUGCGUGUCUACGCGGCGCAGCGAGCCAACGUGGAGGCCCAGCGCACGGCGGCGGCCGAGCGUCUGCUGGAGCCCGCUGACGGGUCCACGCCGGCGGUGGCAGCCAUUAAAUUCGGCAGCCCUGCCGUCACCGCGGCCUUGGGUGUAAAGGAGUAUUACUGCCGGCUGGCGGAGAGCCUCCAGUGCGUCGUGGCUGCCGCCGCUGUGGUUUGUGGUGGUGAUGCAGAGCAGCGGGAUGUGAGAGGAGCUGGGAGGUCGGUGGUCAGAGACUGGCCGGCGACGAAGGACGCUGGUGACAUGAAGACGCUGGUCUCUGAGCUACAAAAGGAGUUUGCUGAGCUCGAACAGCGCAACGAGGAGCUGGAGGACGAGGCUGAAAUGAAGAGGGCUGCGCACAUGGAAGAGGUAGCGGAGUUGGAGUACACCAUAAAUGAGCUGCAGCACCGGGACUCCAGCUUCCGAACCCAAAUGAAGGAGCAGUGUGACGACUACAGGGUGCUGCUCAGUGAGAAGAUGGCCAGAGACAUGGAGAUCGCAGCCUACAGGAGCCUGCUGGAGGAGGAGGAGGCGAGGCUGUGCGACCUGUGACUCGAGGCCCGGCGGCUCCGGGAGCGUCUGGCGUGCGGCCGAACGCUCCCACGCUCACGCGGAUUAGAAAGCAGACAGAGGAGAAACGCAGAACCCAGAUCAGCAGUAGGGUGAAGCAUAAGGUACCGACGCAGCGGGUUGGAGCGCACGCAAACUUAUCACCACAGAUUAAUGCCGUCUGGAGGCCUAAGUCGAGUCAUUGAUAAGCGGCCGCCGGCAGAUGACCCUGAGGCUCAGAGAAGGAUGGAGCUGUCUGAGACUGAUUUGGGGGGGGGUGAUGAGAGAAAAACUGUUUGGUGUCUGGCUGGGACGUUGCCUUAAGUGGGUUCGAUUUUCACCCACUCACUUCACUGUACAAGUCUAACGCACACAGAUACGAACACGCACCAAAGCGGAACCAGCGCCGCUGCCCCUCAUCCAUCACUCAAACCGGUCACCAGCUCUUAACCCGUGACCCCCCCAAUGUUAACACACAUAUUGACGGCGCUCGCUCCACCAAGCGCAGGCGCGCCGCCGCACAGUCACGCAUCCCCGUGGCUUCUACGCGCUGCCGUGUUUGCUUUUCAAAUGGCUCGUGAGCGAGCACCUGGAUCUACAAGAGCAGCGCGAGCGCUUCAUUAGUCUCCCUCCAAAAGCAGUGUCUCAAUUUGCUGUAUUUUUGUUGUUGUUUCAGAAAAAAAAACAACAUUUGGCGAAACAUUCCUCCGUAAUCUUUUCCUGAUUUUCUACAAGCUGUCUGUGAUAAAUCAUCUUUGCGUCCUGCCUCUGCACCAGCGGCACAAUUGGCUUAAGGUUGAAUGAAAUAAAAGUAGCUGCUUUAAACUGUGGGUGUUUUCU
ensembl:lncRNA peripherin-like